rnacentral:lncRNA from 1 species
GCAUCCAAAUUUUUACCAAGGUCAGUUGUGAAACUCUUGCAGGAAUGAUGGGGAAUUGCGGGCUGGAUGCACCAAAGAUCCAAAUCAACAAAUCAACGGAUACUUGUCUCCCUGGAAUGUCGCUAGCGGAGUGUCACAGGCUUGAUCCUUGGCUUGUAAGAGUUUGUAAUGCAAACACAAAACACCUGGGUUGUCAGAGCUGUGACUAUUCAUGGGGCUGCCUGGGAAAGUGACUGUUUGGAUGACAUGAUGGAGGCUGUAAGAAAGUGAGGAAGAUUGGGCCACAUAUAAUAAUGUGAUAUUUAACAAGGACAAAUAUUGAAUCCAGAACUUUGGUUCAAAAAGCACAGGGUGAAAUCUCAGCACUCUGGGAAGCCAAAGCAGAAGGAUCGCUUGAGCCUAGGAGUCAAGACCCACCUGCGCAACAUAGCGAGACCCUAUCUCUUUUUGUUUUUUUUUUUUUUUGAGACAGAAUUUCCCUCUUGUUGCCCAGGCUAGAGUGCAGUGGCACAAUCUUGGCUCACUGCAACCUCUGCCUCCUGGGUUCAACCGAUUCCCCUGCCUCAGCCUCCAG